UACGUAGGCAGCAAGCGUUGUUCGGAGUUACUGGGCGUAAAGGGUGUGUAGGCGGCCUGUUAAGUUCCGUGUGAAAUCUCCCGGCUCAACCGGGAGGGUGCGCGGAAUACUGACGGGCUAGAGUGCGGGAUGGGAGAGUAGAAUUCCUGGUGUAGCGGUGAAAUGCGUAGAUAUCAGGAGGAAUACCGGUGGUGUAGACGGCUCUCUGGACCGUAACUGACGCUGAGACACGAAAGCGUGGGGAGCGAACAGG
rnacentral:rRNA from 1 species